rnacentral:tRNA from 1 species
GGUGGAGUGGGUGAGUGGCUGAAACCACACCCCUGCUAAGGGUGCAUACCUUAAUCGGUAUCGAGGGUUCGAAUCCCUCCUCCACCGCCA